AGCGGGGCCCAACGGCGGUGCGAAGCCCGCAAAAGGGUGAGGAGGCUCAGCCGCACAGUACGUGGUUCCCCCUCCACUUGACCUCUCGCAUGCACCGCCGCCGCCGCCAUCCACUUCAGCGCCGCCGCAGUCGCCAUACGCGCCACUGCCGCUAGUCGCUGGCCGAUCCACCAUUCUCGUCGCCAGCAGAUCCACAGGUUCCUUGUCCCAUCCCCCCUCGUCACCAACGGAUCCGCAGGGGAGAAGAAUCUCGGGAAGGUUAUCAUGCUGGCAACUGGAACUGGUAGGAGGGCGCCAGCAACACAAACAUGAGCGGCUGCUGCAAACAAUGUCCUCUCCAAGAAGAACAGCAAGGUGAUCCAUGUCACAAAGGACAGUUCAAGAACCUUAUCAUCUCUUUAUUGGGGCAUGUUUUAUUUGGGGGCACAUUAGUAUUUGCUUUGUCAGGGAAAAAGAGAGGACUGAACAAUGGUGUUCCCGCGCGCUGUAGCUCGUCACCUGAUAAAAAGUCAAGCAUUCUUUCCUUGACCAGCAUUUUCUUGUAUAUACUUGCUGGGAAGGAUCUUACGUGAGUUGGAAUAAGCAGCAAGAUGCGUUGGUCAUGGCCUGGUGGUUGCUGUGCACAGCACAUCCAGGGACUUCCUUGAUGGCAAUUUGAUAAGGUGAUGCUGCUGGGAGCUGCUGAUGUCUUGAGCAAUGCUAAUAUAACCGUGCCCAUAUGAUCUGUUGUGUUUCUAAAUUCUAACCCAUGCUGUAUGUACGAAGGUUUAUGACAUCAUUACAUCAAUAAUAUUGCACAACUGGCAAUCAGUUGCUGGUGAGUCUUUAUUUUUCUGUCAAAUUGGAGCAUGUUGUGGGCGUCGGUAAAAUUUACACGAAUGCCCCAUGAAAUCGGAAAACAAAAGUACGUAAAUCAACAUGUGAACUUGGAAAAAAAAAAGUGGUACAUGGACAAAUAUAAGUGCUGACAACUGUGGCUGGGGGCAGGCAACCAGCAGGCUGCUCGCGCAGCGCGCAGCGACACGCGGGUGCAACGCGGGCUGCCGUGAAGCCCGCAAAUCACUCGCGGUGCUGUGCGGGCAGCCGCAAACCGCCCCGCUUGCAUCCCUACCACCGGGCAGUUGCGCCGAGCCGCCGUGCCUCCCGCCGGACCACCGCGCGACGCUGGGCUGCCACGCCGCUCCGCGCCGAGCUGCCUGCCGGACCGAGAGGAGGAGAACGAAAGAGGACCUGCCCUGUCGAGCUGCCGGUCGCAGUCGGCCGAGCCGUCGAGCAUCCCUCAGCGGCGCGCCUUCGCCUGGCGUGGCCUGGUCCGUGAUCUUGGGCCGGUGGCGGCUGCCACGGCCUGGCCCCGCGGCCGGACGCCCAUGGCCUGGCCCCGCGGCCGUUAGCCGCUCCCCUGGGCGCCGCGCCGCGCUGCCCGGCCCCGCGUAGCCUGGCCGGCUCGCCGGCGGCCACGCUGGAGGAAGCGAAACGUAGCACAGCUGCAGAGGAGUUAUUGAUCUAAAAUGCCUCUGCCUCCCUGCCUCUCUCCUUGCGGCAGAAAGGGGAUUUCGUUUUGAUUGGAUUCGUUCUCUCCCUGAAGAAGUUAUAUAUCUGAAAAAUUCCUCAUUGUGGAUGUAGACUGCUCAUCGAUUUUGCAUUUGAAUCUCUGACCUUUGUAUAUGCCAAACUGAUUUAUUUGGCGCGUUAGAUGUCCCAUGAUGUUUAAUCCCUUUCCUUGAAAAUUUAGAUACAUAUUUUGCACUCUUCUGGAUCACGUAGAUUAACUGCAGCGAGCUUAAAAGGAGGAAAUUGUUGAUGCCUGUUUGUGCUGUUGCUGCAUAUGCAGUUUAUGUAUAGUGAUAAAAUUGAUCGGUCAACAAUAAAAUUGAUAGGGUCAACAAGGUGUUGAAAUAAUAUAUUAGUCUGUUUAACUAUGAUGUUAAUAUAUAGAUUGAUAUGAUGUGGAAAAUACAUUGAAGAGUUAGACUGCCUUGCUGGAAUAUUUCAGUAUAGCAAGCUCCUCACUAUUGCUAUUUGGUUGGACCACACCUUCAAUUUGGAUGUUCAGUUGCUCCACACUCCACCUGUAGAUAGAAUGGAAGGAGAAUUGCAUGGGGAUGUAGUGGAAUAGCACCUGGAUAGAUAGGUUCGAUCAGAUUCAUGCCAAUGCUCUAAUCUAUGCGCUACCCACGAAGUUCACUGUCCAGGAUUGCCUAUCUUUACUCAUUAAUCUUUGCUAUGCACUUAUUUAUAUGUGUGACUUAUGUUCCUACAACACUAGAG